CGGAGUUUUGGGGGGCGCGGCGGAGGCCCAGGCGCGCUUCGGGCAUUCGGUGAAGGGGCUGCUGACCGAGAAGGUGACGAGCUGCGGCACCGACGUGAUCGCCCUCACCAAGCAGGUGCUGAAGGGCUCCCGCAGCGCCGAGCUGCUGGGCCAGGCCGCCAGGAACAUGGUGAUGCAAGAGGACGCCAUCCUGCACUCCGAAGACAGUUUAAGGAAAAUGGCCAUAAUAACCACGCACCUGCAGUACCAGAUUUUGUGGAGCCCACUCCAUGCAGGCCUGUUUGCCGCACUUCCCAUAGCUGGGCACACCCUGGGACUGCGAUUGUAGAACUGUAGAACCGUUCUAGUGGGAAGGGACCCCUAAAGGCCAUCUGGUCCCACUCCUCUGCACUGAACAGGGACACCUCCAGCUCCAUCAGGUGCUCAGAGCCCCUCCAGCCUGACCUUGGGUG
rnacentral:lncRNA from 1 species